rnacentral:tRNA from 1 species
GGUCUUGUAUUCAUUUUGUGAUGACAGAAUGCAAUUCUGUAGGGGUAGGUAAAUAAGGCUUACCAAGGCCU